GACAAUAAUGCGCUGGAAAUGUCUGCCCCGUGACACAGGCCAUCAUUAAAGGGGAGAGCCCUCUGGAAUUACCCACCCGGGUUCACGUCGGAGAGCUCCCGCACCGUACCUCCGUCAGUGGGGAGAGAGCAAUGUUCUAUGGCUGUUGGACACUGGCAGGAGAGAGGUGAGGAGACUGUGGGGAACCCAUCUCCAACCCGUACACCAGCAGCAGUGACAGUGCUCAUGGGAACCUCUCUGGGAACGUUGAUAUCAUAUGCUGCUGCCUGCCACACUUGCCCUCCUGGAUCAGGUGCCUGGGAG